UACAGAGGUCUCAAGCGUUGUUCGGAUUCAUUGGGCGUAAAGGGUUCGUAGGUGGCCGACUAAGUCAGACGUGAAAUCCCUCAGCUCAACUGGGGAACUGCGUCUGAUACUGGUGGGCUUGAGUGCAGGAGAGGAACGCGGAAUUCCAGGUGUAGCGGUGAAAUGCGUAGAUAUCUGGAGGAACACCGGUGGCGAAGGCGGCGUUUCUGGGACUGCAACUGACACUGAGGAACGAAAGCCAGGGGAGCAAACGGG
rnacentral:rRNA from 1 species